rnacentral:rRNA from 1 species
AUGGCGGACACCCUCGACAUGUCGCUCGACGACAUCAUCACCAAGAACAAGCACCACCACCGCCGUGGCCGCCACAACCCAGCGUCCGCCGCCUCGGGAGGAUCCGCGCACCCACGCCGCCGCUUCCGCAGCCGCGCCGCUGCCCGCGCCGUCACCGCGCCCUACCACCAACUCAGCCUCCCGCAACAGGUACCGCCGGCUUUCGGAUAUGUUGCCCAGCCGAUGGCCAUGGUGACGGCGCCGUCUGCCUUGGACUCGCCCACCAAGCUCUACAUCUCCAACCUCGACUACAACGUCUCCAACGAGGAUAUCAAGGAACUGUUUUCUGAGAUGGGUGAAAUCCAGCGCUACUCCAUUAACUAUGAAAAGAGUGGAAGAUCANNNGGAACUGCAGAGGUUGUAUUUUCAGCAAGAUCGUCUGCCGUAGCUGCUCUUAAGAAGUACAACAACGUGCAUCUUGAUGGCAAACCUAUGAAAAUUGAAGUCAUUGGGACAAACAUUGAGGCACCUGCACCCAUACCUGCUAUUUUCGCUUUGGCUCCACCGCCUGGAAACUUCAGUUUUCCUUCCAAAAGUGGACCUGGAAUGGGUGUUAGCGGUCGAGGAUGGUCUCGUGGCGGAGGUGGCUUCAGUGGUCGCAGCGGCGGUGGGUUCGGUGGUCGUGGCCGAGGGCGUACGGACCGUGGGCGAGGGAAGGGAGGGGGUGGCAACCUGGAACUUUCUGCUGCAGAUCUCGACGCCGACUUGGACAAGUACCACUCGGCUGCAAUGCAAAUCAGCUAA